UGUAGUAACUGUUGGGUUUGGUAUAUUCCAUCUCCUCACUCAGCAGUUUAGUACAGUCCUGGUGCAUUGGAAGAUCCCAUUUGGCCUGUAUGCCUGUGCCACAGUGGAGCGUUCCAUUGGGGUGAUAUAGAGGUCACAGCUAAAGUAGGUCACACGUGGAAAAUUCCGCGGUACCAGAGCCCAGUGACUACGCUAGGUCAUGGAAAAUUACAAGCUUAGAAAAAAUUCCCGCCAAUCAUAUGCAGAUGCGCACACCACUAUUGGCCAUUUCCAAAUUAUUCAUAUUUGACAAGUUGUGAUUGGUUUCCCGGCCAUUUAAAAGCUAAGUCAGUUUCCGCGCGCGGGGAGGUACCCUGCGGUUUUCUCUGAGGAAAGAGCUCCUCCGCAGUUUUCUCUCAAAGAGCUACUCGGCACGGUUUUUCUCAGAGGAAAUAUUCCGGGUGUUUCUCGGAGGGUACUCCCGUCGCCGAUAUCCAAUUUGACGCGCUUCCCCCCCCACGGCCGCAUCAAAAAGCCGUUUACGACCGUCGUUCAUAUCUUGUUGCAUCGUCUCUUGUCGCAUUUACCGUCUUUGCAACUCGUCGUGGGUUUUUUUCGUUGUAACUGUAACUCAAGCCCAGUUCCAUCGACCUACACUGUAAUCAUCACCGUCAGUGUAAGUAAAGAAAUGUUUUUCAACCAUUACGCAUCGCGUGCCUAGUACCUCUCCGGUGUCACCAGUACCCGCCUGCCAUUCUAGGCUAUUGACCCCAUAGCCUCGGUCUGCCUUGCCACCUGACCGCAACAUGGCGUCACGAACAGGAUCUGGGGAAAACACCUUGGAGUUGGAACUAGUGAAAUACUGCCCACGGCGCAGUGGGGAGCGCCAGACAUCCAACUCGGAUGAACUGUGGGCCCAUAUUGCCUACCAUCAGGCAGAGGGAAGGAGUAAAAAUGAGGCUGCCGGCUACUUUUCUAUCUGGGGAGAGACGGGAGCCAGAAAAGAGUGGGCCGCCCAGCUGGGUCCAUGCACUUUCGGGGGUGUACUGAGCGGAGGACGAGUGGCGUGCAUGCCGCAGGACGAGAUGGGAAUGCUGUCUCUAUCACGAGUGAAGGCGGAGGGCGCGAGGGAUCCGCACCCUGCCCAGGAGUUUGCCCGCUGUACUCGGUGUGUGCGCGAGAAUGGGGAAGGAACAAACCCCGAUAAAUUCGACUUCCCGGCUCUAGCGCCCCAGUCGCGUGGCCACAAGCUGCUGACACAGCUCCGGAAAAACUUAGAAACAGAGGGCCGCACCGCGACCAAAUGGUCAGAACCAGGGUGGCACCAGAAACAGAGGGCCGCACCGCGACCAAAUGGUCAGAACCAGGGUGGCACCGGGGGAAAAUAAUCAGUAUAAUGCUUAGAUCUAUUUCGCAUCUGCUGUCUGAAAAUGCUAACCUGGAAGCCCAGUUAACAGAAGUCAGCAGGGCCGCCACAGAAAUAGCGGCGCAAAAAGGCCCAUCACCACCACCAGAAAGAAAAGUGAGCUGCUCGGGUCCCCCGGAAAAGAAGGGUAGAGUCAUGGAGGAGAAGGCGGGACUUCACCCAGCAAACUCACCCCCUAAGGUGACGUCGGUCCCAGCGGCCCCGCCUCCUAGUUACGGGGAGGGGGCAAGUUCCUGGAGACAUCUCCUGAGUUACUUUGUAGGGACGGGGAAGAGCGACUGGUGCCCGGGACAGCUGGCAGGAGAAGGCCGCCACGAGGUCAGAGGCUAUGAAACAGCCCCGCCUCCUAGUUAUGGGGAGGAGGCAGUAAGCGGAGAGCUGUGUCGGCCUCAAGAUACAGUAACAAGUCCAACAGCCGCUUACCUGGUCGGAUAUCAAGGGCAAGAACAUCAUCAGUUUACCCCAUGAAGAGAAGGGAAAGAAUUACCCCAGAGGACGCCAGAAGAGAGAGCAAUGUCUGGUUUUCUCCUGUAUCACACCAAACUUACCAAGCGACAGUUGCGCGCCCUAGGGGAUGAAGGACAACAACAACUAGCGCGAGGAUUAGGAUUAGUCCCUAGAAAAAAAAACCAGGGGAUGAAUAACUGCCACCGGACGGAUCAACGAUGACAACUCUGAGCUCGGACCACGGAUCUUCGCCUAUAUACCAGUCCCAUUGUAUAUAAUUCUGUUAACCCAACAAUACAACGCAAGGUCUUUAGUUACUCAAAUUAAUUAACCAUCAAAAAGCGCUCUAACCAACAUCCUAAGAAUGUAUGGCACCACGAGUCUAUACCAACAAGGGUGUAUAUUUUACAAAAGAAAGUGAGGAAAGUGAGGAAAGAGAUGAAGAAGAUGAUGAUGGAAAGGGGCAAGUAGUAAAGACAAAGAAAGAAAGGUGAUCAGGUUCUAUAGGGACCUGUACACAAAAGGAAGAGGAAAAGGGAAGUAGAAGUAAAAGAUAGAAGGAAAGGAAGGGAAUUCUGGACGGAAAAAUAAGGUGUAAAGGAUGUCGUAAAUGGACAGAAAACAGUUUUAAGACGCUGACAAGAAACCUGCGCCAAAGGAAGAGGAACAUCAAAUUGGAGAAGAACCAUUCGAGCAGAACCCUAACCAAACACCAGCAGUGGCAGACCUUGCCCAUCAAAAUUAGUUAACCUGUUGAACUUUAACCCAGUUAUGACCCUAGUUACUGCUUGUUGCUGUUUAUGUUUUCUUUCAGUGUUGAUUGACAAGGGAGCCGUAACAGGUCCACUGACAUGAAACACAUCUGGUCUCCGUUAUGGUACACAGGUCAAGUUCAUGGUACCUCGUCAACCCGAAUAACCUGACAGACACUGCCCGGACCCUCGAUGGAGAAAGAGCACCACCACGAGCCUCGGCGAGUGACAUCACCAGGCCUGCAUUACUCCAUAUCCCAGCCCAGGGAUCUCGGAGACGGGCACCAGUUGGGGGAUGGAGGAAUGGCCUUGCCCACUGGUGGAGUUGACACUUAAGAUGCUACUUGGGGCUGCACGAUGGCAGUACCCGUGCCCUCCAAGGAGGAGGGUUUGGGGCCAACAUCCUCCCGGUGCCGUCCCGCAUCCAGCAGGGCCAGCCCGCUGCAGGGAAGCCUGGCAGGGUGGAGCAGGGGCUUCGGCACCCUUCAGACAUGAGCAGCCGAGGCAGCGGCAGACACCAG